GCGGGUGUGGUUCAAUGGUAGAAUGCGUCCUUGCCAAGGACGAGACGACGGUUCGAUUCCGUUCACCCGCUCCA
rnacentral:tRNA from 1 species